GACGAACGCUGGCGGCGUGCUUAAUACAUGCAAGUCGAGCGAGGUCCAUCUGGUGGCAACACCAGUGAAGGCCGAGCGGCGAACGGGUGAGUAACACGUGAGCAACCUGCCCCGAAGUCUGGAAUAACAUCGGGAAACCGGUGCUAAUACCGGAUCGCCCCACCCUGACCGCAUGAUCGGGUGAGGAAAGAUUUAUCGCUUCGGGAGGGGCUCGCGGCCUAUCAGCAGUUGGUGGGGUAACGGCCUACCAAGGCAUCGACGGGUAGCUGGUCUGAGAGGACGACCAGCCACACUGGGACUGAGACACGGCCCAGACUCCUACGGGGAGGCAGCAGUAGGGAAUCUUGCGCAAUGGGCGAAAGCCUGACGCAGCAACGCCGCGUGGGGGA
rnacentral:rRNA from 1 species